AGAGAUGUUGCAUGCUGCCCCUGUCGCCCCUAUGCAAGAAAGAGAGCUUCCCCGUGGGCUCCAUUUUACCCCUUCCCCUUCUGUUGCUCUGCCCAUUUUCUCGCUCUCGCCGACGAGCAAGAUUCCAGCUUUUCCUCUGCCCCCAAUUUUGCAAGCUCGCGGUCGAUCUUCACAGCCUGCCUUCCACCGCCGUCCCGGCUGCUCCGCGUUGCAGUGCUUCAGCCUCCCGCCGUCUCCGCCGCGUCGCUACCACGCAUACUACUUUCCCUCCAUUGUUUUGCUUGCUCCAUGGCGAGUACACACUAGGUCGUCGUUGAGAUUCUAGCGGCAGCAAUGGGUGAACGGUGAACUAGAUGAAUUCGCAGACAACGUGUUAGAAGGGCACGUCCACCCAGACUACACCGCGCCUCCGGUAAAUGGUGAUUCUGUAUCGGAGGCAGGAUGCAGAGCGGACGACGAUGGCGGCGCCAGGAAGUCGGCCGGGGUGGAUGAGUUCGGCAUGAACUACAGGCUGUGGCGGUAGACGGGCAGGAGGGCCUAUAACCUGAUGCAACCUAGCUUUCUCGAAUGAUGGUGUUCUGUCAGAACAUAUUGGGGUGCCUCUGUUCUUGGUUUAUAAUCUUUGUAAAAGGUGCAAAAUAGACUGCUUCUUUUGUGAUGUAGCAAACAGAUUGGUCAGUUUCAAUGUAAAGAUGUUGCUGAAGGAA